CUUCCGGUCCGAGUGAAUGUGGUUCUUGCGCCUGCAGAGUUCAGGGCUGGUGCUGCUGUGCGUGCGGUUGUGUUUUUCGCCAGUCGGCCUUCCUCCUCCGGGACCAUGGCCACCGAUUCGUGGGCCCUGGCAGUGGACAAGCAGGAAGCGGCUGUCAAGUCGAUGAGUAAUUUGCAGAUCAAGGAAGAGAAAGUCAAACCAGAUACCAAUGUUCUUCCAGUUGUUGAAAG